AAUGGGCGAAAGCCUGAUGCAGCGACGCCGCGUGAGCGAUGAAGGCCUUCGGGUUGUAAAGCUCUGUGGGGAGGGACGAAUAUGGGCUGGCUAAUAUCCAGUCUGAUGACGGUACCUCCUUAGCAAGCACCGGCUAACUCUGUGCCAGCAGCCGCGGUAAGACAGAGGGUGCAAACGUUGUUCGGAAUUACUGGGCGUAAAGCGCGUGUAGGCGGCUAUAUAAGUCGGACGUGAAAUCCCACGGCUCAACCGUGGAAGAGCGCUCGAAACUGUGUAGCUUGAGUCCUGGAGAGGAAAGCGGAAUACUUGGUGUAGAGGUGAAAUUCGUAGAUAUCAGGUAGAACACCAGUGGCGAAGGCGGCUUUCUGGACAGUGACUGACGCUGAGACGCGAAAGCGUGGGGAGCAAA
rnacentral:rRNA from 1 species